rnacentral:lncRNA from 1 species
GGGCCAAAUUUCAGCUCAUUCCUAUAUAUCCUUAAUCUAUUGCACUUUUUCAUUAUUAAGUAAAUAGAGAAGGCAAGUUAUAUAAAAAGCUUAAGAACUUUUUGACUCCACUUUCCCACCCAAAACCGAGCUACUGGAGCACAUCAAGCUUCGCCAACCUCUUUUCCUUCCUAUGUGCUCGCUCUCCAAGCCAAUCCAAGCCAGAGCCCCAUGUCCUACCACUGCUUCAUCGCCAACCUCACCAG